rnacentral:misc_RNA from 1 species
GAUGAAGAACGUCGUGAAAUGCGAUAAGUAAUGUGAAUUGCAGAAUUCAGUGAAUCAUCGAAUCUUUGAACGCACAUUGCGCCCGCCAGUAUUCUGGCGGGCAUGCCUGUCUGAGCGUCAUUUCAACCCUCAUGCCCCUAGGGCGUGGUGUUGGGGAUCGGCCAAAGCCCGCGAGGGACGGCCGGCCCCUAAAUCUAGUGGCGGACCCGUCGUGGCCUCCUCUGCGAAGUAGUGAUAUUCCGCAUCGGAGAGCGACGAGCCCCUGCCGUUAAACCCCCAACUUUCCAAGGUUGACCUCAGAUCAGGUAGGAAUACCCGCUGAACUUAAGCAUAUCAAUAAGCGGAGGA